CACCCUUCCCAGCCUCAGUUUCCCUUCCUGUAAGAAGAGAACGUUUACUUCCAAGCUCACACUAGGGCGGGCCGAUCAUGUAUUUAUCCUCCUCCAUUAAGCGCGGACUGCAUACCUACAGCCCAGAACCUGCGACGCGGGAACCCUUUGAUCCUGUUCAUCGCAGCUGACAAACAAGGACACUGAGGCACCGAUGAGAGCCCUUGGCCGAAGGGACACAUGUCCCCAGCACGAGGUGUGAGUCUGCAGCUGCUCUUCAGAUUCCAGCUCAGGAGUCUUUCUCACAUGCCUAUUCCUGCGGAGCGCGUUUCUCUCCUGGUCUCCAAAGCUACAGGCCUGAAGGGUCCAAAUAACUUCAUGAAUUGUAACUCCCGUCUCAGCCUGCAUCUGUUUCAGUGGACUUCUGUCUGGCUGACUGACAUAUCCAGGCACUGGCUGCUGACUUCAGUCUGUGAGACAUGGACCUGCAGAAGGCUUAUGGUGGGCCAGUGCAGCAAAAUGUAACUAUUUUCUUCCUCUACAAUAAAUUCCUCUAUGAUAAA